AUGCCAAGUCAAGCAACCACUCAUACUCUUUGUAAUCAGAAAACUAGAAGUAGUGGUAUAUGCAAUGAAAAAAAUAACGUUAGUCAGAAUAAAAUGAAGGAAGGUCAAAAUAAGGUAAACAAUAAACAUGAAAAAGCGGAUAUUAAGGAUCUUACAGGGAAGACGGGGAAGAAUGGCGAAGCAAAAGCAAAAGCUGAAGAGCACAAGUGGUCUGGAAAAUGCACUGAUGAUUCUGAGGAUCAACCAACAGGGAACCAAAUAAGGUUUAGGCCGGAGAAGUGGAGCGCCGUUGACUGUCGUAGAAGCUCUGGUUUAGGGUUUUUUCGUGAAGAAAAUCUGACUGAGAAUAGAAAAGUGAUACGAAUUGUGUUUUGA